rnacentral:rRNA from 1 species
UACAGAGGUCUCAAGCGUUGUUCGGAUUCAUUGGGCGUAAAGGGUGCGUAGGCGAUGAGGUAAGUCGGAUGUGAAAUCCCGGGGCUCAACCCCGGAACUGCAUUCGAUACUGCCUUGCUUGAGCACUGGAGAGGAGACUGGAAUUUACGGUGUAGCAGUGAAAUGCGUAGAUAUCGUAAGGAAGACCAGUGGCGAAGGCGAGUCUCUGGACAGUUGCUGACGCUGAGGCACGAAGGCCAGGGGAGCAAACGGG